UAAAACUCAAAGGAAUUGACGGGGGCCCGCACAAGCGGCGGAGCAUGCGGAUUAAUUCGAUGCAACGCGAAGAACCUUACCAAGGCUUGACAUAGCCGAGAACGCUGUAGAGAUACAGAACUCUUUGGACACUCGGUUACAGGUGGUGCAUGGUUGUCGUCAGCUCGUGUCGUGAGAUGUUCGGUUAAGUCCGGCAACGAGCGCAACCCUCGUCCUAUGUUGCCAGCACGUUAUGGUGGGAACUCAUGGGAUACUGCCGUGGUCAACACGGAGGAAGGUGGGGAUGACGUCAAGUCAUCAUGCCCCUUAUGUCUUGGGCUUCACGCAUGCUACAAUGGCCGAUACAAAGGGCUGCGAUACCGCGAGGUGGAGCGAAUCCCAAAAAGUCGGUCUCAGUUCGGAUUGGGGUCUGCAACUCGACCCCAUGAAGUCGGAGUCGCUAGUAAUCGCAGAUCAGCAACGCUACGGUGAAUACGUUCCCGGGCCUUGUACACACCGCCCGUCAAGUCAUGAAAGUCGGUAACACCCGAAGCCGGUGGCCUAACCCUUGUGGAGGGAGCCGUCGAAGGUGGGACUGGUGAUUAGGACU
rnacentral:rRNA from 1 species